rnacentral:rRNA from 1 species
UACGAGGGGGGCAAGCGUUGUCCGGAAUUAUUGGGCGUAAAGAGCUCGUAGGCGGCUUGUCACGUCGGGUGUGAAAGCCCGGGGCUUAACCCCGGGUCUGCAUUCGAUACGGGCUGGCUAGAGUGUGGUAGGGGAGAUCGGAAUUCCUGGUGUAGCGGUGAAAUGCGCAGAUAUCAGGAGGAACACCCGGUGGCGAAGGCGGAUCUCUGG